GAUGAGCUGAACAAGCUUCGGGUGUU
rnacentral:piRNA from 1 species